rnacentral:lncRNA from 1 species
GAUGAACUCCUGAUGAACAUACACAAAAGCGCCUGUGCAGCAAAUGUGAAGAAGUGGCGCAGUCAAGUACAUGUGUCAAGUCACAAAAGAACACUCACAUGCCUACAUGACAUAUAGAAGAAUACUCGCGUGUCUGCGUUGGAUAAUGGAGAGCUUACCUGUGCAGGACAAAAAGAAUUUGUCUGUUAGAAAAAGCUGCAAGACGGUUAGAAAGCACAAUCAUGGAUGACAACGACGUCGGGGCAAUGUUCGUGCAUGAGGAGUACGUGAGGAACCGAAGAAGACCAUUUUACACUUUCUCUGUGUAAUCCCUAUAAAUACCUGCCGAGCCCUUUGUAAGAGGGACGGAUCCUAAGUAGCCGAAAUAUAGAAAAUACAUCGCCGCAUAAGAAAUCGGAGUUUCAGUACUUGAGGGAUUGGCACGAGAGUCCUGUCUUAUCAGCCAUAAUGGUCGUGGCAUUAAGAGUGGCAGGGAUACUUGCAGUUGGCGAAGCUCGAAAAGAAUCAGCAUUGGUAGGGUUGGAGGAAGGGCACCCAUGUUCGGAAACUCCCAGCAGCCCUUGGACCGGCAUGGACUGACUGUGAGAGGGAGAAACAUUAGAGUUAGGGUUAGGGUUAGAACACCCUUGAACAACGGAAACACCGUUAAGUUCUAAAAAAGACA